rnacentral:rRNA from 1 species
AUGAUAUCACAGUAACUAAGACCACAGUGCAGCUAAGCUGUCAUGAGCUAUAGAUGUACCUAAGACCACCCUAACAAACAAUCUUAGCAUUUUAGAUUAAUUUAAUUCCACGAAAGCUAAGCCACAAACUGGGAAUAAGAUACCCCACUAUGCUUAGCCUUAAAUCUUGAUGCUUUUUAUACUAAAGCAUCCGCCCGAGAACUACGAGCACAAACGCUUAAAACUCUAAGGACUUGGCGGUGCCCUAAACCCACCUAGAGGAGCCUGUUCUAUAAUCGAUAACCCACGUUAUACCCGACCACCUCUCGCCAAAAGCAGCCUACAUACCGCCGUCGCCAGCUCACCUUUCUGAGAGUUUAACAGUGAGCACAAUAGCUUAAACCCGCUAACAAGACAGGUCGAGGUAUAGCCUAUGAGGUGGAAGAAAUGGGCUACAUUUUCUAAAUAGAAAACCCACGGAAGGGGGUGUGAAACCACCCCCCAAAGGCGGAUUUAGCAGUAAAGAGGGACAAUAUAAGCCCCCUUUAAGCCGGCCCUGGGCACGUACAUACCGCCCG